UAUUCCCCACUGCUGCCUCCCGUAGGAGUCUGGGCCGUAUCUCAGUCCCAAUGUGGCCGAUCACCCUCUCAGGCCGGCUACCGAUCGUCGCCUUGGUGGGCCGUUGCCCCGCCAACUAGCUAAUCGGACGCAAGCUCAUCCCAUACCGAUAAAUCUCUAGUCAACCCCCCAUGCAGGGGGCCACUCUCCUGGACAUUAACCGCGCGUUGGCACGGGUAUUUCCUGAUAUGGGGCAGAUUGCUUACGCGUUACUCACCCGUUCGCCGCUCGGCAUUGCUGCCUCGCUCGACUUGCAUGUAUAAGACACGCCGCCAGCGUUCAUCCUGAGCCAA
rnacentral:rRNA from 1 species